rnacentral:rRNA from 1 species
AUUGAACGCUGGCGGCAGGCCUAACACAUGCAAGUCGAACGAGUGGCGGACGGGUGAGUAAUGUCUGGGAAACUGCCUGAUGGAGGGGGAUAACUACUGGAAACGGUAGCUAAUACCGCAUACCAUCGGAUGUGCCCAGAUGGGAUUAGCUAGUAGGUGGGGUAACGGCUCACCUAGGCGACGAUCCCUAGCUGGUCUGAGAGGAUGACCAGCCACACUGGAGCUGGGACCAGGUCCAGACUCCUACGGGAGGCAGCAGUGUGGAAUAUUGCACAAUGGGCGCAAGCCUGAUGCAGCCAUGCCGCGUGUAUGAAGAAGGCCUGCGGGUUGUAAAGUACUUGCAGCGGGGAGGCGUUACCCGCAGAAGAAGCACCGGCUAACUCCGUGCCAGCAGCCGCGGUAAUUC